rnacentral:tRNA from 1 species
UAAUAUUCUUAUAGUUGAAAUACAACGAUGA